rnacentral:rRNA from 1 species
UAAGCGAAUUAAGGGUGUAUGGGGGAUGCCUUGGCUCUUGUAGGCGAUGAAGGACGUGUUAAGCUGCGAUAAGCUACGGGGAACUGCACAAAAGUGUUGAUCCGUAGAUUUCCGAAUGGGGCAACCCAAUAGUUUGAAGAACUAUUACCACGCAUAGCGUAGGAGCAAACCCGGAGAACUGAAACAUCUAAGUACCCGGAGGAAAAGAAAACAAAAGUGAUUCCGUAAGUAGUGGCGAGCGAACACGGAUUAGCCCAAACCAGCGUUGUUACGGCAAUACUGGG